rnacentral:lncRNA from 1 species
CCGCGUCGAGAAAUGAUGGACGACGCAGUUGGGCGGCAAAGACCGGGAGGACCGCGGCUGGCUCCGGUGUCGUCGAGGGGACGACGAGGCGAACGCGUUCUCAGCGGCCGAAACCGUGCCGUACGGCUGAGCGGCCGGCGUAUCGUCGGCCUCGCAACCACGCACCGUGCCCCAGGACGAGGCCGAAGUCGCGGCAGCCACCGUGCAGCCACCGCCGAUUCCUAAAGCAUUCGAAGGCUUCCAGCGGCGGAACGCCCUCUACCGGCCCCUUGUGAGGUAUUCUACGGUAUGCCGCAUCGUGGCCACCAGGACCACGUGACCAGGACGCCGCCCGCGUCUGCCGCCGCCGAGCUGUGGCAUCCCCAGCAGCAACCGUCACGGCUACUGCGCGCGGAUGUUGGAACGUUUGAUGGGCGUUCGCGUAUUGUGUAGUGUAUCGUUUCGUCGAUAAAUGACGUUUGAUUGCGAA